GGCCAGACUCCUACGGGAGGCAGCAGUGAGGAAUAUUGGUCAAUGGGCUUACGCCUGAACCAGCCAAGUCGCGUGAGGGAAGACUGCCCUAUGGGUUGUAAACCUCUUUUGUCAGGGAACAAAGGCGGGGACGUGUCCCCGGAUGAGUGUACCUGAAGAAAAAGCAUCGGCUAACUCCGUGCCAGCAGCCGCGGUAAUACGGAGGAUGCGAGCGUUAUCCGGAUUUAUUGGGUUUAAGGGUGCGUAGGCGGAAUAUCAAGUCAGCGGUAAAAAUUCGGGGCUCAACCCCGUCGUGCCGUUGAAACUGACGUUCUUGAGUGGGCGAGAAGUAUGCGGAAUGCGUGGUGUAGCGGUGAAAUGCAUAGAUAUCACGCAGAACUCCGAUUGCGAAGGCAGCAUACCGGCGCCCAACUGACGCUGAAGCACGAAAGCGUGGGUAUCGAACAGGAUUAGAUACCCCGGUAC
rnacentral:rRNA from 1 species